rnacentral:rRNA from 1 species
UACGAAGGGGGCUAGCGUUGUUCGGAAUUACUGGGCGUAAAGCGCACGUAGGCGGAUUGUUAAGUCAGAGGUGAAAAUCCCGGAGCUCAACUUCGGAACUGCCUUUGAUACUGGCAAUCUCGAGUCCGGAAGAGGUUAGUGGAAUUCCCAGUGUAGAGGUGAAAAUUCGUAGAUAUUGGGAAGAACACCAGUGGCGAAGGGCGGCUAACUGGUCCGGUACUGACGCUGAGUGCGCGAAAGCCAGGGGAGCAAACGGG